rnacentral:rRNA from 1 species
CAGCAGCCGCGGGAAUACGGAGGGUGCAAGCGUUAAUCGGAAUUACUGGGCGUAAAGCGUGCGUAGGCGGUUCGUUAAGUCUGUUGUGAAAGCCCCGGGCUCAACCUGGGAAUGGCAAUGGAUACUGGCGAGCCAGAGUGUGUCAGAGGAUGGUGGAAUUCCCGGUGUAGCGGUGAGAUGCGUAGAGAUCGGGAGGAACAUCAGUGGCGAAGGCGGCCAUCUGGGACAACACUGACGCUGAGGCACGAAAGCGUGGGGAGCAAACAGGAUUAGAUACCCGGGUAGUCCCUGUCUCUUAUAC